rnacentral:misc_RNA from 1 species
GAACGCACCUUGCGCCCUUUGGCCAUUCCGAAGGGCAUGCCUGUUUGAGUAUCAUGAACACCUCAACUCUCAUGGCUCGCCAUGAUGAGCUUGGACUUUGGGGGUCUUGCUGGCCUGUGGUCGGCUCCUCUCAAAUGGAUCAGCUUGCCAGUGUUUGGUGGCAUCACAGGUGUGAUAACUAUCUGCGCUUGUGGUUUUCCAUCAGAUAACCUUCAGUGAUGGAGGUUCGCUGGAGCUCACAGAUGUCUCUCCUCGGUGAGGACAGCUUUUUGAACGUUUGAUCUCAAAUCAGGUAGGACUACCCGCUGAACUUAAG